rnacentral:rRNA from 1 species
UGUAGGUGGCGCGCUAAGUCGGGUGUGAAAUUUCGGAGCUUAACUCCGAAACUGCAUUCGAUACUGGCGUGCUUGAGGACUGGAGAGGAGACUGGAAUUUACGGUGUAGCAGUGAAAUGCGUAGAUAUCGUAAGGAAGACCAGUGGCGAAGGCGGGUCUCUGGACAGUUCCUGACACUGAGACACGAAGGCCAGGGGAGCAAACG